ensembl:lncRNA
GUUCCACUUGUGAAAAGCAAUUAUUCCAGGCUUCUCUUGGAAACGCUUUUUUGGGCCCCAGUGGUAGAAACCUGAAAUGGGCAAAAACCAGUGCACAAAAUGAGCCCCAUCACUCUCAGCUUGUGUAAGGGGCACCCGGAGGUCUCUAAUUAUACCCCUCAGGAAGACUCACGUGGUGUGCUGGGGUUGGGCUGGAUGUUCUUGGAGGUCUUCCCCAACCUCAGUGCUUCUGUGAUUCUAUGGAAAUGGCAGCAGAAUGCAUACGUGUGCUGGGGCUGCCGCUGGGAGCAGCUGCUCAGGCACGUGUGAGCACAGUGCAUAUGUGUGCACACGUGUGUGCUCGUGGCUCCUUCGCUCUGUGCCGUGGCACAGCAUCACUCCCACAUCCAACCCAGACUGGAAACUACCUUGGCAAAAUCAUCCUGGAGGAGGCUUUUAGCAGCGUGCAGCAUGGAACGCAUCCAGCACUGUGGUUUUCCAAGGUAACAGCCGAAGAAAAGGAAAAAAAAAAAAGGCUGGAGGAAGGGAUGAGGCAGCGGGUGUCAGACAGCGGACGGUGUUCAUUGAGGUCGGUGUGAGGAUGCCCUCACUUCUCCGGCUCUGCCCACAGACACAACCACCAAGACUCAUAAAAAGCCUCAGGAAAAGAGACCCCCUUCCUCUGUGCUCUGUGCAAAAGAUCAUCUGAAUUAACGUGAGCUCCUUGGCUAUUAAACGGAAAUUUUAAAUGGGAAGAAAAUUCUGCACUGGCUGCUAAAUUGUGUGUCAGCAGAAAGGGCGAAAAAGCAACGUGUGUCAUUCCUAUUAUCAUCUUGAAAUCCAUCUUCCCUCUACAUGCCAUGACAGUGGAUAAUCCCCGGUCUUUCACACAGCACGUGACAGGCGGGUGCCCAGCGAUUUAAUGCCUACCAAUGCUCUUCAUGGCAGCUGCUGCUUUAAAUGGAAUUCCAGCACAAGUUGUGGCUUCUGCUGCCUGAGCCUCUUUCCCUUUCCCUUCUCUUUCUCCAUGCAGAAAAAAUGGCACCCACUGACAUUCAUCGACAGUUGCUGAACAGUUAUGGAGGCCCAACAGUGGAUGUGAGCACAGUGCUGCUGUGGGUGGUGCAUUUCAGCAGUGACAGUGGAUCACCUCGACUGGUGCAGAUUUAUCCAACGUGGCAUGCAGGUUCUAGUUCAUCGCUGGCCAAAAAGCACAGCCAGUGGUGGUGGCUAUGUUGAAAAACAGUGCUUUGUGGCUGAGAAUUUGCUCUGUCUGUUAGUAUUAUUGUGCUCUUUGUAUCUGUUGCAGUUUCUGCGGAAAUAAAUAGGAG